rnacentral:rRNA from 1 species
UACGUAGGUGGCAAGCGUUGUCCGGAUUUACUGGGCGUAAAGAGCGCGCAGGCGGUCGUCCAAGUCGAAUGUGAAAGCCCCCGGCUCAACCGGGGAGGGCGGCUGCGAACUGGCCUUCUUGAGGUCGAUAGAGGAGAGCGGAAUUCCUGGUGUAGCGGUGAAAUGCGUAGAUAUCAGGAGGAACACCCGUGGCGAAGGCGGCUCUCUGGGUCGGACCUGACGCUGAGGCGCGAAAGCGUGGGGAGCGAACGGG